rnacentral:tRNA from 1 species
GCCUGGCUGGCUCAGUGGGCGGAGCAUGCAACUCUUGAUCUUAGGGUUGUGGGUUCGAGCCCCACGUUGGGGA